AGAGCGAACGCUGGCGGCAGGCUUAACACAUGCAAGUCGAGCGGGCGUAGCAAUACGUCAGCGGCAGACGGGUGAGUAACGCGUGGGAACGUACCUUUUGGUUCGGAACAACACAGGGAAACUUGUGCUAAUACCGGAUAAGCCCUUACGGGGAAAGAUUUAUCGCCGAAAGAUCGGCCCGCGUCUGAUUAGCUAGUUGGUGGGGUAAAGGCUCACCAAGGCGACGAUCAGUAGGUGGUCUGAGAGGAUGAUCACCCACACUGGGACUGAGACACGGCCCAGACUCCUACGGGAGGCAGCAGUGGGGAAUAUUGGACAAUGGGGGCAACCCUGAUCCAGCAAUGCCGCGUGUGUGAAGAAGGCCUUCGGGUUGUAAAGCACUUUAGGCGGGAAGAAGGUGUGUAUUUAAGAGAUAACACACUUGACGGUACCCGCAGAAUAAGCACCGGCUAACUCUGCGCCAGCAGCCGC
rnacentral:rRNA from 1 species